UACGUAGGUGGCAAGCGUUGUCCGGAUUUAUUGGGCGUAAAGCGAGCGCAGGCGGUUUUUUAAGUCUGAUGUGAAAGCCUACGACUUAACCGUAGAAGUGCAUCAGAAACUGGGAGACUUGAGUGCAGAAGAGGGCAGUGGAACUCCAUGUGUAGCGGUGGAAUGCGUAGAUAUAUGGAAGAACACCAGUGGCGAAGGCGGCUGCCUGGUCUGUAACUGACGCUGAGGCUUGAAAGCAUGGGUAGCAAACA
rnacentral:rRNA from 1 species